rnacentral:rRNA from 1 species
GGUUAAGUCCCGCACGAGCGCAACCCCUAUUGUUAGUUGCCAUCAUUCAGUUGGGCACUCUAGCGAGACUGCCGGUAAUAAACCGGAGGAAAGGUGGGGAUGACGUCAGAUCAUCAUGCCCCUUAUGACCUGGGCUACACACGUGCUACAAUGGUUGGUACAACGAGUUGCGAGUCGGUGACGGCGAGCUAAUCUCUUAAAGCCAAUCUCAGUUCGGAUUGUAGGCUGCAACUCGCCUACAUGAAGUCGGAAUCGCUAGUAAUCGCGGAUCAGCACGCCGCGGUGAAUACGUUCCCGGGCCUU